GAAAUGCGAUAAGUAAUGUGAAUUGCAGAAUUCAGUGAAUCAUCGAAUCUUUGAACGCACAUUGCGCCCGCCAGUAUUCUGGCGGGCAUGCCUGUCCGAGCGUCAUUUCAACCAUCGAGCCCCCGGGCUUGUGUUGGGGACCUGCGGCUGCCCGCAGGCCCUGAAAACCGGUGGCGGGCUCGCUGUCACACCGAGCGUAGUAGCAAUCACCUCGCUCAGGGCGUGCUGCGGGUUCCGGCCGUUAAACAGCCUUACAAAACCCAAGGUUGACCUCGGAUCAGGUAGGAAGACCCGCUGAACUUAAGC
rnacentral:misc_RNA from 1 species